AGACCAACAGGUGUUAUUCUCA
rnacentral:miRNA from 1 species